rnacentral:rRNA from 1 species
CGUGCAGGCGGUUUGGUAAGUUGGAUGUGAAAGCUCCUGGCUUAACUGGGAGAGGUCGUUCAAUACUGCCAAACUAGAGGACGGUAGAGGAAGGUAGAAUUCCUGGUGUAGUGGUGAAAUGCGUAGAUAUCAGGAGGAAUACCAGAGGCGAAGGCGGCCUUCUGGGCCGUUCCUGACGCUAAGACGCGAAAGCAUGGGUAGCGAACG